rnacentral:misc_RNA from 1 species
GAUGAAGAACGUAGCGAAAUGCGAUAAGUAAUGUGAAUUGCAGAAUUCAGUGAAUCAUCGAGUCUUUGAACGCACAUUGCGCCCCCUGGUAUUCCGGGGGGCAUGCCUGUCCGAGCGUCAUUGCCGCCCUCAAGCACGGCUUGUGUGUUGGGCCCCCGCCCCCCGGCUUCGGGGGGCGGGCCCGAAAGGCAGCGGCGGCACCGCGUCCGGUCCUCGAGCGUAUGGGGCUUCGUCACCCGCUCUGUAGGCCCGGCCGGCGCCCGCCGGCGACCCCAAUCAAUCUUUCCAGGUUGACCUCGGAUCAGGUAGGGAUACCCGCUGAACUUAAGCAUAUCAAUAAGCGGAGGGA